rnacentral:lncRNA from 1 species
CUGUUUUCUGUUAUCAUACAACAUUGACUAAGCCAACAAUUGUGUUUUUAGUGAAUAUCCCUAAUUUUUUACUCUUGCCCCCUCUUAUUUUUCAGUCCUCCCCAUUAUAUCGUUUUUCUGUUAUACAACAUUGACUAAAGUUGAUUAUCUCCCUUCUAAACAUUUUAUGUGUAUGCAAACUGCAUAUUUCACUUUAGAUUAACAAUAUUAAGUGCACAUUCCUUAAAUAAUGUAAAUAAACUUCUCCGGAUCUGAAGAAAUAUUUAAAUGUUUCAAUGCAUUAAUUUUGUUUGUCGUCGAUUUUCUUUCCGCUAUUAUAUAAUAAACAGCAACCAUAACUGUACAAAUCUAAAUUUCCCAGUCUGGUCUAAGUCUGUGUUAUCAAAUUUCUAAUCCUUCAGCAAACUUUUCAUAUCCACUUUUGCAUACAACUAACCCACAUGUCAAAAUUCCUCAAAAGAAAAGAAAAAGCUGAAUUCUUUGGAUUCAUUUAUUGUUAAAUUUACCAACAUGAC